AUCCAGUUGACGAGUUCGAAACAGGACGAAACGAGAGUCUUGGAU
rfam:Schistosoma mansoni strain Puerto Rico chromosome 4, complete genome